rnacentral:rRNA from 1 species
GAGUUUGAUCCUGGCUCAGAACGAACGCUGGCGGCAGGCUUAACACAUGCAAGUCGAACGCCCCGCAAGGGGAGUGGCAGACGGGUGAGUAACGCGUGGGAACGUGCCCUAAGGUUCGGAACAACUCCGGGAAACUGGAGCUAAUACCGAAUGUGUCCGUAAGGAGAAAGAUUUAUCGCCUUAGGAUCGGCCCGCGUUGGAUUAGCUAGUUGGUGGGGUAAUGGCCUACCAAGGCGACGAUCCAUAGCUGGUCUGAGAGGACGACCAGCCACACUGGGACUGAGACACGGCCCAGACUCCUACGGGAGGCAGCAGUGGGGAAUCUUGAACAAUGGGCGCAAGCCUGAUCCAGCCAUGCCGCGUGGAUGAUGAAGG